UGGGAACGUACCCUUUGGUUCGGAACAACCCAGGGAAACUUGGGCUAAUACCGAAUACGUCCGUAAGGAGAAAGAUUUAUCGCUGAAGGAUCGGCCCGCGUCUGAUUAGCUUGUUGGUGAGGUAACGGCUCACCAAGGCUACGAUCAGUAGCUGGUCUGAGAGGAUGAUCAGCCACACUGGGACUGAGACACGGCCCAGACUCCGUACGGGAGCAGCAG
rnacentral:rRNA from 1 species